UUCUUCGGGGCAGGGUGAAAUUCCCGACCGGCGGUAGAGUCCGCGAGCGCGAAAGCGCAGAUUUGGUUAAAUUCCAAAACCGACAGUAAAGUCUGGAUGAAAGAAGA
rnacentral:ncRNA from 1 species